AAGUCGUAACAAGGUUUCCGUAGGUGAACCUGCGGAAGGAUCAUUAAAAAAUCUAAUUGAUGAGCCGCAAGGCUCUAAUAUCUUGUGAAACUGUGGUGUAUCGUUGUUGUUACUACAAGCAGGCGGCUGGAAAGUGGGUAUAGUAGGAAUCUAUCUUAUGGAUUUAUUUCGAAAAACUUGCUUGCCUGCCGCCUCUGUGGCAACAGAUAUAACGAUAUACAUCUAUAAUAUAUAUGUUUUUGAUGUUGAGGAAGUAUUAUACAAAUAUAAUAUAUGUACAACUUUCAACAGUGGAUCUCUCGGCUCUU
rnacentral:misc_RNA from 1 species